UCAUGUCGAAAGAAGAAAAAUAACAAACUACAUUUUUCAGACUAUAAUGUAUUACAAGAUGCAAACAAAGAAAUUUCAUGGAUUGAGUUUCAAAACGUUUUUUUUUUCUUUAGAUGAGGAUUGUUCUCCGAAAUUAGUCUCUGAUUGUUGCUUUGUUGAAAGUAGUAGUGGUAUUAACUAUCAAAAUAUUGAUUAUUUAAGGAUGUACGGGACUGACGAUUUUGAAAUUACCGCGCAACUCCGAAUGACGUAAAUAAAUCCUAUGUCGUUCGCAUCUCCUAUUUGAUUCUGAGUGUAUGUUAGAUAAUAUCUACAAUGCAAUUAAUUCUAUAUAUAUAUUUUACAUAAACUAUGACAAAAAUAUUAUUAUAUUCGAAAUAAAAACAAAUCGCGUAAAUUUUACGACUUUAAUUACUUUUCGGCAAUGUAAACAUAGUGAGACUUUUGAAACAUUGAAAUGCGGGGGAAACGCGGAUUUCAGUCAGCUAAAGCGAUCCAGCGUUACAUCAAGGUUUUUUGACCCACAGAAGACGAUGGAAAGUUGCCUCACCAAGACACCAGACGCUGGAUCAUCUAUAUUUGCAAUCGCAGACGCAAGACAUGUGUUCAGGUUUUGAACAUGAUGUCUCCAGAAAGGAUAUGUUUGAUGACGGUUACCAUGGAAACGAACUCACGGACCUAUGUCAAAAAUGUCUUUUUCUGAUAAAAUAAAUAUAAUGCUAUCCAUUUCA